rnacentral:lncRNA from 1 species
AACAAGCUGAUUUUAAACAGCGUGAUCAUUACACAGGUGCACCUUGUGCUGGGGGGGGGGGGGCAAUAAAGGGCCACUCUCUAAAAAUGUUUCAUGUUUUGAGGGAACGAGCAAUUGGCGUGUUGACUGCAGGAGCUGUUGCCGGGAUAAUUGAAUGUUCAUUUCUCUACCAUAAGCCGCUUCCAACGUCGUUUUUUUUUGUUUGUUGAGAAUUUGGCUCUACGUUCAAUUGGUCUCAUAACCGCAGACCCACGUGUACGGCGUCGUGUGGGCCCCAUGGUGGAGGUGGGGUUAUGGUAUUGGGCCCCAUGGUGGAGGUGGGGAUAUGGUAUUGGGCCCCAUGGUGGAGGUGGGGUUAUGGUAUGGGCCCCAUGGUGGAGGUGGGGUUAUGGUAUUGGGCCCCAUGGUG